GUGUGAAUUACAUGGGGAUUUUUCCUUGGGGAUUAGUAUGAAAAUCCGUAGGAAACUUAUAUUCCUGCAAAUUUUCAUACUAAUCCCCAGGAAAAUCCCCAUGUAAUUCACAC
rnacentral:pre_miRNA from 1 species